rnacentral:rRNA from 1 species
AAUGGGCGCAAGCCUGACCCAGCGACGCCGCGUGGGUGAUGAAGGCCUUCGGGUCGUAAAGCCCUGUCGGAAGGGACGAAUGUCCCCGGGGUGAACAAUCCCGGGGAGUGACGGUACCUUCAGAGGAAGCACCGGCUAACUCCGUGCCAGCAGCCGCGG